rnacentral:rRNA from 1 species
CCUACGGGUGGCAGCAGUGAGGAAUAUUGGUCAAUGGCCGGAAGGCUGAACCAGCCAUGCCGCGUGAAGGUCAGUGCCCUAUGGGCGUUAAACUUCUUUUGUGCGGGAGCAAUAAUGGUCACGUGUGGCCAGACGAGAGUACCGUACGAAUAAGCAUUGGCUAACUCCGUGCCAGCAGCCGCGGUAAUACGGGGGAUGCAAGCGUUAUCCGGAUUUAUUGGGGUUAAAGGGUGCGUAGGCUGUGAGGUAAGUCAGCGGUGAAAUGCCCCCGCUCAAAGGGGUGAAGUGCCAUUGAUACUGCCUUGCUGGAAUGCGGAUGCCGUGGGAGGAAUGUGUGGUGUAGCGGUGAAAUGCAUAGAUAUCACACAGAACACCGAUUGCGAAGGCAUCUCACGAAUCCGCGAUUGACGCUGAUGCACGAAAGCGUGGGUAUCAAACAGGAUUAGAUACCCGUGUAGUC